rnacentral:rRNA from 1 species
GACGAACGCUGGCGGCGUGCUUAACACAUGCAAGUCGAGCGGUAAGGCCCUUUCGGGGUACGACGAGCGGCGAACGGGUGAGUAACACGUGGGUGACCUGCCUUUAGCUCUGGGAUAAGCCUGGGAAACUGGGUCUAAUACCGGAUAUGACUCCGCGGUGCAUGCUGUGGGGUGGAAAGCCUUGUGCGGCUGGAGAUGGGCCCGCGGCCUAUCAGCUUGUUGGUGGGGUGAUGGCCACCAAGGCGACGAC